ACACCUACGGGUGGCUGCAGUCGAGGAUCUUCGGCAAUGAGCGCAAGCUUGACCGAGCGACGCCGCGUGAGCGAUGAAGGCCUUCGGGUUGUAAAGCUCUUUAGUGGGGGAGAAAAGCCCGCAAGGGUGUGAUCUAUCCCAAAAAUAAGCACGGGCUAAGUUCGUGCCAGCAGCCGCGGUAAGACGAACCGUGCGAACGUUGUUCGGAAUCACUGGGCUUAAAGGGCGCGUAGGCGGGCUGUCCAGUCUGGGGUGAAAUCCCGCGGCUCAACCGUGGAACUGCCUCAGGUACUGACGGCCUCGAGGGAGAUAGGGGCAUGCGGAACUGUAGGUGGAGCGGUGAAAUGCGUUGAUAUCUACAGGAACUCCGGUGGCGAAGGCGGCGUGCUGGAUCUCUUCUGACGCUGAGGCGCGAAAGCUAGGGGAGCAAACGGGAUUAGAUACCCCGGUAGUCCUAGCCCUAAACGAUGGGUACUAGGUAGUAGAUGAGAUAUGCGUUUACUGUCGAAGCUAAAGUGCUAAGUACCCCGCCUGGGGAGUAUGGUCGCAAGGC
rnacentral:rRNA from 1 species